UAUGAUUUAGUAUAGGAUGUACCUUAAUUUUUGAAAUUAAAAGUAAUGUUUUGAAUACAUUAGUCAUAA
rnacentral:tRNA from 1 species